rnacentral:rRNA from 1 species
AUUGAACGCUGGCGGCAGGCCUAACACAUGCAAGUAGAACGAGUGGCGGACGGGUGAGUAAUGUCUGGGAAACUGCCUGAUGGAGGGGGAUAACUACUGGAAACGGUAGCUAAUACAGCAUACCAUCAGAUGUGACAAGAUGGGAUUAGCUUGUUGGGGGGGUAACGGCUCACCAAGGCGAAGAACCCUGGCUGGUAUGAGAGGAUGACAGGCCACACUGGAACUGUAACACGGUCCAGACUCCUACGGGAGGCAGCAGUGGGGAAUAUUGCACAAUGGGCGCAAGCCUGAUGCAGCCAUGCCGCGUGUAUGAAGAAGGCCUUCGGGUUGUAAAGUACUUUCAGCGGGGAGGCGUUACCCGCAGAAGAAGCACCGGCUAACUCCGUGCCAGCAGCCGCGGUAAUAC